CGCGGAGUAGAGCAGUGGUAGCUCGUCAGGCUCAUAACCUGAAGGUCGGAGGUUCGAUCCCUCCCUCCGCAACCA
rnacentral:tRNA from 1 species